CUGCCCAUCAGAAGGGGAUAACACUUGGAAACAGGUGCUAAUACCGUAUAACACUAUUUUCCGCAUGGAAGAAAGUUGAAAGGCGCUUUUGCGUCACUGAUGGAUGGACCCGCGGUGCAUUAGCUAGUUGGUGAGGUAACGGCUCACCAAGGCCACGAUGCAUAGCCGACCUGAGAGGGUGAUCGGCCACACUGGGACUGAGACACGGCCCAGACUCCUACGGGAGGCAGCAGUAGGGAAUCUUCGGCAAUGGACGAAAGUCUGACCGAGCAACGCCGCGUGAGUGAAGAAGGUUUUCGGAUCGUAAAACUCUGUUGUUAGAGAAGAACAAGGAUGAGAGUAGAACGUUCAUCCCUUGACGGUAUCUAACCAGAAAGCCACGGCUAACUACGUGCCAGCAGCCGCGGUAAUACGUAGGUGGCAAGCGUUGUCCGGAUUUAUUGGGCGUAAAGCGAGCGCAGGCGGUUUCUUAAGUCUGAUGUGAAAGCCCCCGGCUCAACCGGGGAGGGUCAUUGGAAACUGGGAGACUUGAGUGCAGAAGAGGAGAGUGGAAUUCCAUGUGUAGCGGUGAAAUGCGUAGAUAUAUGGAGGAACACCAGUGGCGAAGGCGGCUCUCUGGUCUGUAACUGACGCUGAGGCUCGAAAGCGUGGGGAGCGAACAGGAUUAGAUACCCUGGUAGUCCACGCCGUAAAC
rnacentral:rRNA from 1 species